rnacentral:rRNA from 1 species
GUCGAACGGCAGCGGGUCGUAGCAAUACGAUGCCGGCGAGUGGCGCACGGGUGCGUAACACGUAUGCAAUCUACCUCAAACCGGGACAUAACAUUGAGAAAUCGAUGCUAAUAUCCCAUAACACUAUGAUGUGGCAUCACAAUAUAGUUAAAGCUCCGGUGGUUUGAGAUGAGCAUGCGUCCCAUUAGCUAGUUGGCGAGGUAACGGCUCACCAAGGCAACGAUGGGUAGGGGCUCUGAGAGGAUUACCCCCCACACUGGUACUGAGACACGGACCAGACUCCUACGGGAGGCAGCAGUAAGGAAUAUUGGUCAAUGGGCGCAAGCCUGAACCAGCCAUGCCGCGUGCAGGAAGACGGCCUUAUGGGUUGUAAACUGCUUUUAUACGGGAGUAAACGCACGUUCGUGAACGUGUUUGCAAGUACCGUAUGAAUAAGCAUCGGCUAACUCCGUGCCAGCAGCCGCGGUAAUACGGAGGAUGCAAGCGUUAUCCGGAUUCAUUGGGUUUAAAGGGUGCGUAGGCUGGCCAAUAAGUCAGAGGUGAAAAGCAUAGGCUUAACUUAUGCACUGCCUUUGAUACUGUUGGUCUUGAGUGCAAAUGAGGUUGGCGGAAUGUGUAGUGUAGCGGUGAAAUGCUUAGAUAUUACACAGAACACCGAUAGCGAAGGCAGCUAACCAAGAUGCAACAGACGCUGAGGCACGAAAGCGUGGGGAUCAAACAGGAUUAGAUACCCUGGUAGUCCACGCUGUAAACGAUGAUUACUCGCUGUUGGCGAUACACAGUCAGCGGCCAUGCGAAAGCGUUAAGUAAUCCACCUGGGGAGUACGAUCGCAAGAUUGAAACUCAAAGGAAUUGACGGGGGCCCGCACAAGCGGAGGAGCAUGUGGUUUAAUUCGAUGAUACGCGAGGAACCUUACCUGGGCUUGAACGUGUGAUGCUGUAUCGUGAAAGCGGUAUUCCCUUCGGGGCAUCAUGCGAGGUGCUGCAUGGUUGUCGUCAGCUCGUGCCGUGAGGUGUUAGGUUAAGUCCUGUAACGAGCGCAACCCCUAUACUUAGUUACCAGCACGUUAAGGUGGGGACUCUAAGUAAACUGCCUGCGCAAGCAGAGAGGAAGGUGGGGAUGACGUCAAAUCAGCACGGCCCUUACGUCCAGGGCCACACACGUGCUACAAUGGCCGAUACAGAGGGCAGCUACCUGGUGACAGGAUGCAAAUCUCGAAAGUCGGUCUCAGUUCGGAUCGGAGUCUGCAACUCGACUCCGUGAAGUUGGAUUCGCUAGUAAUCGCGCAUCAGCCAUGGCGCGGUGAAUACGUUCCCGGGCCUUGUACACACCGCCCGUCAAGCCAUGGGAGUUGGGGGGACCUGAAGUCG